rnacentral:rRNA from 1 species
GAUGAACGCUAGCGGCAGGCUUAACACAUGCAAGUCGAGGGGUAGGUUACUUCGGUAAUUGAGACCGGCGCACGGGUGCGUAACGCGUAUACAAUCUACCUUUUACAGAGGGAUAGCCCAGAGAAAUUUGGAUUAAUACCUCAUAGUAUUUUUGAAUCGCAUGAUUUGAUUAUUAAAGUUCCAACGGUAAAAGAUGAGUAUGCGUCCCAUUAGCUAGAUGGUAAGGUAACGGCUUACCAUGGCUACGAUGGGUAGGGGUCCUGAGAGGGAGAUCCCCCACACUGGUACUGAGACACGGACCAGACUCCUACGGGAGGCAGCAGUGAGGAAUAUUGGACAAUGGGCGAAAGCCUGAUCCAGCCAUGCCGCGUGUGUGAAGAAGGUCUUCGGAUUGUAAAGCACUUUAAGUGGGAGGAAGGGUAGUAAACCUAAUACGUUGCUACUUUGACGUUACCGACAGAAUAAGCACCGGCUAACUUCGUGCCAGCAGCCGCGGUAAUGGUGAACUACUG